UUAAUUGAAGAGUUUGAUCAUGGCUCAGAUUGAACGCUGGCGGCAGGCCUAACACAUGCAAGUCGAGCGGCAGCACAGAGGAACUUGUUCCUUGGGUGGCGAGCGGCGGACGGGUGAGUAAUGCCUGGGAAAUUGCCCGGUAGAGGGGGAUAACCAUUGGAAACGAUGGCUAAUACCGCAUAACCUCGCAAGAGCAAAGCAGGGGACCUUCGGGCCUUGCGCUACCGGAUAUGCCCAGGUGGGAUUAGCUAGUUGGUGAGGUAAGGGCUCACCAAGGCGACGAUCCCUAGCUGGUCUGAGAGGAUGAUCAGCCACACUGGAACUGAGACACGGUCCAGACUCCUACGGGAGGCAGCAGUGGGGAAUAUUGCACAAUGGGCGCAAGCCUGAUGCAGCCAUGCCGCGUGUAUGAAGAAGGCCUUCGGGUUGUAAAGUACUUUCAGUAGGGAGGAAGGUGGUUAAGUUAAUACCUUAAUCAUUUGACGUUACCUA
rnacentral:rRNA from 1 species